GCGUGUGUGAAGAAGGCCUUCGGGUUGUAAAGCACUUUCGAUGGGGAAAAACAAGUUCGACCUAAUACGUCGGACCCUGAUGGUACCCAGAGAAGAAGCACCGGCUAACUCUGUGCCAGCAGCCGCGGUAAUACAGAGGGUGCAAGCGUUAAUCGGAAUUACUGGGCGUAAAGCGUGCGUAGGUGGUUUGUUAAGUCAGGCGUGAAAUCCCUGGGCUCAACCUGGGAACUGCGCUUGAUACUGGCAGACUAGAGUGUGGUAGAGGGUAGUGGAAUUCCGCAUGUAGCAGUGAAAUGCGU
rnacentral:rRNA from 1 species